UGGGGAAUAUUGCACAAUGGGCGCAAGCCUGAUGCAGCCAUGGCGCGUGUAUGAAGAAGGCCUUCGGGUUGUAAAGUACUUUCAGCGGGGAGGAAGGGAGUAAAGUUAAUACCUUUGCUCAUUGACGUUACCCGCAGAAGAAGCACCGGCUAACUCCGUGCCAGCAGCCGCGGUAAUACGGAGGGUGCAAGCGUUAAUCGGAAUUACUGGGCGUAAAGCGCACGCAGGCGGUUUGUUAAGUCAGAUGUGAAAUCCCCGGGCUCAACCUGGGAACUGCAUCUGAUACUGGCAAGCUUGAGUCUCGUAGAGGGGGGUAGAAUUCCAGGUGUAGCGGUGAAAUGCGUAGAGAUCUGGAGGAAUACCGGUGGCGAAGGCGGCCCCCUGGACGAAGACUGACGCUCAGGUGCGAAAGCGUGGGGAGCAAACAGG
rnacentral:rRNA from 1 species